ACAUGCAAGUUCGAACGAUACGGACUUCGGUCCUAUUGUACGAGUGGCGAACGGGUAGUAACACGUGAGAGACCUCGCCUCGGAGAUCGGGACAACCAUUGGAAACGAUGGCUAAUACCGAAUGCCCUCUUUCGGUCGCAUGGCCGAAUGAGGAAAUGAUCCGUCGCUCCGGGAGGGUCUCGCGGCCUAUCAGCUUGUUGGUGAGGUAACGGCUCACCAAGGCAUCGACGGGUAGCUGGUCUGAGAGGACGAUCAGCCACACUGGGACUGAGACACGGCCCAGACUCCUACGGGAGGCAGCAGUAGGGAAUCUUGCACAAUGGGCGAAAGCCUGAUGCAGCGACGCCGCGUGGGGGAUGAAGGCCUUCGGGUUGUAAACUCCUUUCAGUAGGGACGAAAAUGACGGUACCUACAGAAGAAGCUCCGGCCAACUACGUGCCAGCAGCCGCGGUAACACGUAGGGAGCAAGCGUUGUCCGGAUUUAUUGGGCGGAAAGAGCUCGUAGGUGGUUCAGUAAGUCGGAUGUGAAAACUCAGGGCUCAACCCUGAGACGCCAUCCGAUACUGCUGUGACUUGAGUUCGGUAGAGGAGUGUGGAAUUCCUGGUGUAGCGGUGAAAUGCGCAGAUAUCAGGAGGAACACCAACAGCGAAGGCAGCACUCUGGGGCCGAUACUGACACUGAGGAGCGAAAGCAUGGGGAGC
rnacentral:rRNA from 1 species